UUCAGGUUGUACGAAAAUAACUGAUUAUUAAGUUAAAGAUUGUUUAUUUAUAUAGAACGCAUUUAUUCAGUCAGUUUUUAACUUUUGUCUAUGUGUGCAAGUAUCUCAAAAAUGUCGUAGUCUUAAUGCUGGGUUAUGAAAAAAGGGUUUUUAGGAUGUUGCGGAUAUUGGCGUCGACUUUGACGAAUCAGCAACAAUUCCUAAAGAUUUGGGGACAGUGACGAACCAGCUGCAGCAGAUCAAGACUACUUUCUAUUUGGCAAUUUUUGAAAAUAGGAUUUCCUCGGUAAAAUAAGGAUUUACCUUAUUAUUUUAGUAUAUUCAAUAUUUUGCUUUUUGUAUUUACUGCAUGGGUUUAGAUAUUGACUUACAGAUACAGGAGAAAGGAAGUGCCCAACAAAUAUCGACAAUGUACUCUAUGAAAUAUGCCGUUGCACACGAGGGGCUGACAACUUAGGAUCAGUCCUGACAACAAGAUAACUUUUAUCAGAUGGUUAAAUUGUGAGAUACUUAUCUCAUGGUUUCAACUAGAAGAUAAGUCAGUUAACUGGCUGAUAGCUCAAACAUAACAUACAGAAAUUGGAGGACUGGCAUUUGGAUCUAAAUAAUAUGCUUUGUAAAUUAUAUUUGGUUUCCGAUUGUAAUUAUAUCAGAAUAAAGAC